AAUCAACGCUGGCGGCGUGCCUAACACAUGCAAGUCGAACGCGAAAGUCCCGCAAGGGAUGAGUAGAGUGGCAAACGGGUGAGUAACACGUGGGUGACCUGCCUUCGAGUGGGGGAUAACGUUUCGAAAGGGACGCUAAUACCGCAUGACAUCCUGCCUUUGAAGAGGCGGAGAUCAAAGCCGGGGAUCGCAAGACCUGGCGCUUGAAGAGGGGCCCGCGUCCGAUUAGCUAGUUGGUGGGGUAAUGGCUCACCAAGGCUGCGAUCGGUAGCCGGCCUGAGAGGGCGGACGGCCACACUGGGACUGAGACACGGCCCAGACUCCUACGGGAGGCAGCAGUGGGGAAUUGUUCGCAAUGGGCGCAAGCCUGACGACGCAACGCCGCGUGGAGGAUGAAGACCCUCGGGUCGUAAACUCCUUUCGAUCGAGACGAACGGCCUCCGGGUGAACAAUCCGGAGGAGUG
rnacentral:rRNA from 1 species